rnacentral:tRNA from 1 species
GGGGAUUUAGCUCAGAGGUAGAGCACUUGCCUGGCAAGUGCAAGGUCCUGGGUUCGGUCCCCAGCUCCG